rnacentral:rRNA from 1 species
UACGUAGGGGGCAAGCGUUGUCCGGAUUUAUUGGGCGUAAAGCGCACGCAGGCGGUCUUUUACAUCUUGGGUGACAGGUCCCGGCUCAACUGGGGCAGUACCUGGGAAAUGGGAAGACUUGAGGGCUUCAGAGGGACGCGGAAUUCCAGGUGGAGCGGUGAAAUGCGUAGAGAUCUGGAAGAACACCGAAGGCGAAGGCAGCGUCCUGGGAAGCAUCUGACGCUCAGGUGCGAAAGCUAGGGGAG